rnacentral:rRNA from 1 species
AAAUUGAAGAGUUUGAUCAUGGCUCAGAUUGAACGCUGGCGGCAGGCCUAACACAUGCAAGUCGAGCGGUAGCACAGAGAGCUUGCUCUCGGGUGACGAGCGGCGGACGGGUGAGUAAUGUCUGGGAAACUGCCUGAUGGAGGGGGAUAACUACUGGAAACGGUAGCUAAUACCGCAUAAUGUCGCAAGACCAAAGUGGGGGACCUUCGGGCCUCAUGCCAUCAGAUGUGCCCAGAUGGGAUUAGCUAGUAGGUGGGGUAACGGCUCACCUAGGCGACGAUCCCUAGCUGGUCUGAGAGGAUGACCAGCCACACUGGAACUGAGACACGGUCCAGACUCCUACGGGAGGCAGCAGUGGGGAAUAUUGCACAAUGGGCGCAAGCCUGAUGCAGCCAUGCCGCGUGUGUGAAGAAGGCCUUCGGGUUGUAAAGCACUUUCAGCGGGGAGGAAGGCGGUAAGGUUAAUAACCUCAUCGAUUGACGUUACCCGCAGAAGAAGCACCGGCUAACUCCGUGCCAGCAGCCGCGGUAAUACGGAGGGUGCAAGCGUUAAUCGGAAUUACUGGGCGUAAAGCGCACGCAGGCGGUCUGUCAAGUCGGAUGUGAAAUCCCCGGGCUCAACCUGGGAACUGCAUUCGAAACUGGCAGGCUAGAGUCUUGUAGAGGGGGGUAGAAUUCCAGGUGUAGCGGUGAAAUGCGUAGAGAUCUGGAGGAAUACCGGUGGCGAAGGCGGCCCCCUGGACAAAGACUGACGCUCAGGUGCGAAAGCGUGGGGAGCAAACAGGAUUAGAUACCCUGGUAGUCCACGCCGUAAACGAUGUCGAUUUGGAGGUUGUGCCCUUGAGGCGUGGCUUCCGGAGCUAACGCGUUAAAUCGACCGCCUGGGGAGUACGGCCGCAAGGUUAAAACUCAAAUGAAUUGACGGGGGCCCGCACAAGCGGUGGAGCAUGUGGUUUAAUUCGAUGCAACGCGAAGAACCUUACCUGGUCUUGACAUCCACAGAACUUAGCAGAGAUGCUUUGGUGCCUUCGGGAACUGUGAGACAGGUGCUGCAUGGCUGUCGUCAGCUCGU